rnacentral:lncRNA from 1 species
CUCCAUGCCUUUUUAGCCGAGUUUAUUAUUUUUGCUCUCUCGAUAAAAAAUGUUACAUGCACUUCAUUCGUUUUCUCUCGCCAUUUCCGUUCUAUCCCUUCAUCAUUCAUGUUCAUCAUUCCAUUCUUCACCUCCUUCAUCACUUGAUUUGCUAUUCAUGCCCUGUGUCUAGUGUAUGAGUGGAUGCAAUAAUAAACUUUGUGAUUUGAGAAUUUUUUUUUGUUGUCAAUUGCUUAGACGGAUGUUGAUGGGAAUUGAGUUCUUGACUAUGGAGUGUUUGUAGCUAUGACAAUUCACUUGCAAAGAAUGGUGAAUGACGAGCAUUACCGCAAAGCAUUCAAGUUUUUUGCACUUAUGUGCAUAGCUUGCACUUAUGGUUGCUGCAAGUUCAGGGGAGAUGAGCUCUUCUAGAGGGAUGGUCAGAGAUUCAUUGCAGUUGACAAACGAUGUGUGUCAUUUGAAUUAAACUUGUUUGAUUUGUUUAAAUUAGGGUGGUAGGUACUCAUUUUAUAUUUCCAAUGAUAUACAAUGUAUUUUUUUUUUAAGAGAUGUAUAAUGUAUUUGUUCUUUUCAUUUUCAACCAAGUUUAGCUUUUUGAAAUCUAAUAUAUAAAUGUUUUACUGAUUGAUCUACAUAGUCUUCACUAUUCAGUAACAUUUAUGC